UGCAAAGGUAGCAUAAUAAUUUGGCUUAUAAUUGAAGUCUUGUAUGAACGAAUACAUGGGGAAUAACUAUAUCAACAAUGUAAAAUGAAAUUACUAAAUACGUGCAAAUACGUAUAUUUACAUAAAAGACGAGAAGACCCUAGAAAUUUUUACUAUUUACGUUAACUGUUUUUGCUGGGGCGGCAUAGUAACAUGAAACUUACAUUAUUAUACAAGAAGUGAUAAUUUGCAGAAUGAUUAAAUUACUCUAGGGAUAACAGCAUAAUUUAUUAUAGUUUGUGACCUCGAUGUUGGAUUAGGAAGU
rnacentral:rRNA from 1 species